rnacentral:rRNA from 1 species
AUUGAACGCUGGCGGCAGGCUUAACACAUGCAAGUCGAGCGAGCGGCGGACGGGUGAGUAAUGUAUGGGAACCUGCCUGAUGGAGGGGGAAAACUACUGGAAACGGUAGCUAAUACCGCAUACCAUCAGAUGUGCCCAGAUGGGAUUAGCCAGUAGGUGGGGUAAUGGUUCACCUAGGCGACGAUCCCUAGCUGGUAUGAGAGGAUGACCAGCCAAACUGGAAGUGAGACACGGUCCAGACUCCUACGGGAGGAAGAAGUGGGGAAUAUUGCAAAAGGGGCGCAAGCCUGAUGCAGCAAUGCCGCGUGUGUGAAGAAGGCCUUCGGGUUGUAAAGCACUUUCAGCGAGGAGGCGUUACUCGCAGAAGAAGCACCGGCUAACUCCGUGCCAGCAGCCGCGGUAAUUC